rnacentral:rRNA from 1 species
CUGGGCGUAAGCGCGCGCAGGCGGCUUUACAAGUAUGGCGUGAAAUCUCCCUGCUCAACGGGGAGGGUGCGUUGUAGACUGUAAGGCUUGAGGACGGUAGAGGGGGGUAGAAUUGCUGGUGUAGCGGUGAAAUGCGUAGAGAUCAGCAGGAAUACCCGUGGCGAAGGCGGCCCCCUGGGCCGUACCUGACGCUGAGGCGCGAAGGCUAGGGGAGCGACCCGGAUUAGAUACCCGGUUAGUCCUAGCAGUAAACGAUGGCUACUAGGUGUGGGGGGUGUUGACCCCUCCUGUGCCGAAGCUAACGCAUUAAGUAGCCCGCCUGGGGAGUACGGUCGCAAGACUAAAACUCAAAGGAAUUGACGGGGACCCGCACAAGCAGCGGAGCGUGUGGUUUAAUUCGAUGCAACGCGAAGAACCUUACCUGGGCUUGACAUCUAUUUGCAACACUCUGAAAGGGGUGCCUCCUUCGGGACAGAUAGACAGAUGCUGCAUGGCUGUCGUCAGCUCGUGUCGUGAGAUGUUGGGUUAAGUCCCGCAACGAGCGCAACCCUUGUCCUUAGUUGCAUAUCUAAGGAGACUGCCGGUACAAAACCGGAGGAAGGUGGGGAUGACGUCAAGUCAGCAUGGCUCU